GUCAGGAUGGCCGAGUGGUCUAAGGCUCCAGACUCAAUCUGUGGAGGUGUGGGUUCAAAUCCCACUUCUGACA